rnacentral:rRNA from 1 species
GAUGAACGCUGGCGGCGUGCCUAAUACAUGCAAGUCGAGCGAACAGACGAGGAGCUUGCUCCUCUGACGUUAGCGGCGGACGGGUGAGUAACACGUGGAUAACCUACCUAUAAGACUGGGAUAACUUCGGGAAACCGGAGCUAAUACCGGAUAAUAUAUUGAAUCGCAUGGUUCAAUAGUGAAAGACGGUUUUGCUGUCACUUAUAGAUGGAUCCGCGCCGCAUUAGCUAGUUGGUAAGGUAACGGCUUACCAAGGCAACGAUGCGUAGCCGACCUGAGAGGUGGAUCGGCCACACUGGAACUGAGACACGGUCCAGACUCCUACGGGAGGCAGCAGUAGGGAAUCUUCCGCAAUGGGCGAAAGCCUGACGGAGCAACGCCGCGUGAGUGAUGAAGGUCUUCGGAUCGUAAAACUCUGUUAUUAGGGAAGAACAAAUGUGUAAGUAACUAUGCACGUCUUGACGGUACCUAAUCAGAAAGCCACGGCUAACUACGUG